UACGUAGGGGGCAAGCGUUAUCCGGAUUUACUGGGUGUAAAGGGAGCGCAGACGGCUGUGCAAGUCUGGAGUGAAAGGCGGGGGCCCAACCCCCGGACUGCUCUGGAAACUGUUGAACUUGAGUGCAGAAGAGGAGAGUGGAACUCCAUGUGUAGCGGUGGAAUGCGUAGAUAUAUGGAAGAACACCAGUGGCGAAGGCGGCUCUCUGGUCUGCAACUGACGCUGAGGCUCGAAAGCAUGGGUAGCGAACAGG
rnacentral:rRNA from 1 species